rnacentral:tRNA from 1 species
GGUGUGGUGUAGGGGUAGCAUGCGACGUUGUGGUACCUCAUUGGACGACAACUCCGUCUCGACCCCGGUUCGAUUCCGGGCACAGCCA